GGUUUUUCAUUUUAAAUGAUGUUGCUGCCAGACAGGUCAGUACCUGGCCACCAGUGUGGCCGCGUGUUGGUUUUUGGUACGUCCGGUGUAUAUAUAGGGGUUGCUGCUGUCGGCAAAUAAUUUUCCGGUGCAGGCGCAUUUAUUGGACCCAAU